CCUACGGGGGGCAGCAGUGGGGAAUAUUGCACAAUGGGGGAAACCCUGAUGCAGCGACGCCGCGUGAGUGAAGAAGUAUUUCGGUAUGUAAAGCUCUAUCAGCAGGGAAGAAAAUGACGGUACCUGAUUAAGAAGCCCCGGCUAACUACGUGACAGCAGCCGCGGUAAUACGUAGGGGGCAAGCGUUAUCCGGAUUUACUGGGUGUAAAGGGGGCGUAGACGGCAGCACAAGUCUGGAGUGAAAUGCCGGGGGUUAACCCCGGAACUGCUGUGGAAACUGGGCAGCUAGAGUGCAGGAGAGGUAAGUGGAAUGCGUAGGGUAGCGGUGAAAUGCGUAGAUAUUAGGAGGAACACCAGUGGCGAAGGCGGCUUACUGGACUGUAACUGACGUUGAGGCUCGAAAGCGUGGGGAGCAAACAGGAUUAGAUACCCGAGUAGUC
rnacentral:rRNA from 1 species